GACGAACGCUGGCGGCGUGCUUAACACAUGCAAGUCGAGCGGUAAGGCCCUUUCGGGGGUACACGAGCGGCGAACGGGUGAGUAACACGUGGGUGACCUGCCCUCAGCUCUGGGGAUAAGCCUGGGAAACCGGGUCUAAUACCGGAUAUGACUCCAUGACGCAUGUUGUGGGGUGGAAAGCCUUGUGCGGCUGAGGAUGGGCCCGCGGCCUAUCAGCUUGUUGGUGGGGUGAUGGCCUACCAAGGCGACGACGGGUAGCCGGCCUGAGAGGGCGACCGGCCACACUGGGACUGAGACACGGCCCAGACUCCUACGGGAGGCAGCAGGUGGGGAAUCUUGCGCAAGUGGGCGAAAGCCUGACGCAGCGACGCCGCGUGA
rnacentral:rRNA from 1 species